UACGAAGGGUGCAAGCGUUACUCGGAAUUACUGGGCGUAAAGCGUGCGUAGGUGGUUUGUUAAGUCUGAUGUGAAAGCCCAGGGCUUAACCCUGGAAGUGCAUUUGAUACUGCAAAGCUUGAGUGUAGGAGAGGUUACUAGAAUUCCUGGUGUAGUGGUGAAAUACGUAGAUAUCAGGAGGAAUACCGGAGGCGAAGGCGGGUAACUGGCCUAACACUGACACUCAGACCCGAAAGCGUGGGGAUCAAACAGG
rnacentral:rRNA from 1 species